UACGUAGGGACCGAGCGUUGUCCGGAUUCAUUGGGCGUAAAGAGCUCGUAGGCGGCUGCUCAAGUCGAAUGUGAAAACUCGAGGCUCAACCUCGAGCCUGCAUUCGAUACUGGGCGGCUAGAGUCUGGUAGGGGGAUCUGGAAUUCCUGGUGUAGCGGUGGAAUGCGCAGAUAUCAGGAGGAACACCGGUGGCGAAGGCGGGUCUCUGGGCCGAUACUGACGCUGAGGAGCGAAAGUGUGGGGAGCGAACAGG
rnacentral:rRNA from 1 species